CCUUGCUGGUUUACCUCACUGUUUCAGACAAGCCGCUGCUUAAGGUGCAUUUACAGAAUGACACCAGCUGGACUGAACUGCAAAUACUGCACAAAUCCUGUGCUAAUAGGAUCUAGACUGUCUUACUGUAGGAGUAAACAUUGUGGUCAUUUACAAUUUUCACUACCCUUCUUUUACUAGCAUAAUUUCUGGGCAAAUCAGUUCACUCAGUGAUUUAAUGUAUCAUUUUUAAUUGAAUUCCAAAUAAAGUGGGGGAUUGAGUCAUGUCAGCUUGAAGUAAAAAAA